UAAGACAGAGGGGGCAAGCGUUGCUCGGAAUCACUGGGCGUAAAGGGCGCGUAGGCGGGAUGGCAAGUCGGUCGUGAAAUCCUUCGGCUCAACCGAAGAACGUCGGCCGAUACUGCCGUUCUUGAGGGAUGCAGAGGAGAUUGGAAUUCCCGGUGUAGCGGUGAAAUGUGUAGAGAUCGGGAGGAACACCGGUGGCGAAGGCGGGUCUCUGGGCAUCUCCUGACGCUGAGGCGCGAAAGCGUGGGGAGCAAACGGGAUUAGAUACCCCGGUAGUCCACGCUGUAAACGAUGGGCACUUGGUGUCGCGGGUAUCGACCCCUGCGGUGCCGAAGCUAACGCAUUAAGUGCCCCGCCUGGGGAGUACGGUCGCAAGGCUG
rnacentral:rRNA from 1 species